UAUAAGACUGGGAUAACUUCGGGAAACCGGGGCUAAUGCCGGAUAAUAUUUAGAACCGCAUGGUUCUAAAGUGAAAGAUGGUUUUACUAUCACUUAUAGAUGGACCCGCGCCGUAUUAGCUAGUUGGUGGGGUAAUGGCUUACCAAGGCAACGAUACGUAGCCGACCUGAGAGGGUGAUUGGCCACACUGGAACUGAGACACGGUCCAGACUCCUACGGGAGGCAGCAGUAGGGAAUCUUCCGCAAUGGGCGAAAGCCUGACGGAGCAACGCCGCGUGAGUGAUGAAGGUCUUCGGAUCGUAAAACUCUGUUAUUAGGGAAGAACAAAUGUGUAAGUAACUGUGCACGUCUUGACGGUACCUAAUCAGAAAGCCACGGCUAACUACGUGCCAGCAGCCGCGGUAAUACGUAGGUGGCAAGCGUUAUCCGGAAUUAUUGGGCGUAAAGCGCGCGUAGGCGGUUUCUUAAGUCUGAUGUGAAAGCCCACGGCUCAACCGUGGAGGGUCAUUGGAAACUGGGAAACUUGAGUGCAGAAGAGGAAAGUGGAAUUCCAUGUGUAGCGGUGAAAUGCGCAGAGAUAUGGAGGAACACCAGUGGCGAAGGCGACUUUCUGGUCUGUAACUGACGCUGAUGUGCGAAAGCGUGGGGAUCAAACAGGAUUAGAUACCCUGGUAGUCCACGCCGUAAACGAUGAGUGCUAAGUGUUAGGGGGUUUCCGCCCCUUAGUGCUGCAGCUAACGCAUUAAGCACUCCGCCUGGGGAGUACGACCGCAAGGUUGAAACUCAAAG
rnacentral:rRNA from 1 species